rnacentral:rRNA from 1 species
AUUGAACGCUGGCGGCAUGCCUUACACAUGCAAGUCGAACGGCAGCACGGGAGCAAUCCUAGUGGCGAGUGGCGAACGGGCGAGUAAUGUAUCGGAACGUGCCCAGUCGUGGGGGAUAACGUAGCGAAAGCUACGCUAAUACCGCAUACGAUCUAUGGACGAAAGCGGGGGAUCGCAAGACCUCGCGCGAUUGGAGCGGCCGAUAUCAGAUUAGGUAGUUGGUGGGGUAAAGGCUCACCAGGCCGACGAUCUGUAGCUGGUCUGAGAGUACGACCAGCCACACUGGGACUGAGACACGGCCCAGACUCCUACGGGAGGCAGCAGUGGGGAAUUUUGGACCAUGGGCGCAAGCCUGAUCCAGCAAUGCCGCGUGCAGGAUGAAGGCCUUCGGGUUGUAAACUGCUUUUGUACGGAACGAAACGGCGAGCUCUAAUACAGUUUGCUAAUGACGGUACCGUAAGAAUAAGCACCGGCUAACUACGUGCCAGCCGCCGCGGUAA